rnacentral:rRNA from 1 species
AACGAACGCUGGCGGCAGGCUUAACACAUGCAAGUCGAACGCCCCGCAAGGGGAGUGGCAGACGGGUGAGUAACGCGUGGGAAUCUACCCAGAUCUUCGGAACAACUGAGGGAAACUUCAGCUAAUACCGGAUACGCCCUACGGGGGAAAGGUUUAUCGGUUCUGGAUGAGCCCGCGUUGGAUUAGCUAGUUGGUGAGGUAAAGGCUCACCAAGGCGACGAUCCAUAGCUGGUCUGAGAGGAUGAUCAGCCACACUGGGACUGAGACACGGCCCAGACUCCUACGGGAGGCAGCAGUGGAGAAUAUUGGACAAUGGGCGAAAGCCUGAUCCAGCCAUGCCGCGUGAGUGAUGAAGGCCUUAGGGUUGUAAAGCUCUUUCAGUGGGGAAGAUAAUGACGGUACCCACAGAAGAAGCCCCGGCUAACUUCGUGCCAGCAGCCGCGGUAAGAC